ensembl:snRNA U6 U6 spliceosomal RNA
AUGCUCACUUUAGCAGCACAAAUACUAAAAUUGGAACAAUACAGAGAAGAUUAUCUGGCUCCCAUGCAAGGAUGACACACAAAUCUGUGAAGUGUUCCAUAUUUUU